UAGACAGACAAAGUCAUUUGUUGAUAUCUGAAAAUUCCCCUACAUUGUCAAUGUUCCGCCCCAAUCCCAAUGGCUAAAAACAGGGAUAACAAUAAUGAACAAUGGACCCAUUUUGGUAAGCAUGGCACACUGGUUUGGGCCAGACGUUUCAACAUUGUAACACCCACCUCAAAAGCUCUGGGAGCUGAAUGAUCUGAGAAUCACUCAUGAAACUAGUGAAAAAGGGAUAAUUUACAGACUUUAGAAGAAUGGAAGAUGUGCAUGGCCUGCAGGAAAGCUCACUUCUAAUUACAUUUGUUGCCAAGGACGAGGACUGUCCUAUUUAUAAAACUAAUCCUUGUGUUUUCAGGGGAUGUAGCUAUUGGAGAUGGGGUGGCAAGGCACUUCCUGAGCCUGGUCAUCCACAAGCUCAAGCAUGGCUUUGCUAUCGAUGUUGGUAAGUUCUAGGUUCUCUAGAAGAGUUUGCAUUUGUUGGUAUCUUGCGAGGAUUUCAUGGUUCAGUAAUUAUUGGUUUUAAUGUGUAAUGCAUUAAUUCAUUUGAAAUGUAAUAUCUUCCCCCAUAUUCUCUUCAUGCAAAAGAGAACUUGCUUUUCUGGAUUGACCCAAUGAUAUAUAAAAGUAUCAGUAAACAUUGGCCUUCUGUAUGUUUUUUUUUCUUUAGGAAACUCAUGUGGUGCCAUGCUUUUUGAGGGCCAGUCGGAUCACCUUGUCCCCUCUUCUUCAAAGAUAUUUAUGCAAAAUGACAUGUUCAUAAUGGCUGGGCGGAUGAUAGGGCAUGCCUUUCUUCAUAGUGGCCCGCGCCUGACAGGCCUUAGCCCGGCCGUGCUACAUGUUUUGGCUGGUGGCACCCCACAAACGGCCACCAUUACCCUUGAAGACAUUAAUGACAUUGAUGUUCGAGAAACCAUUGGACCACUUUAUGAAGUCUGUGAGAGCAACAAUGGGAACCUCACAACUCUAUCUGUGGAGCAAAGGGAUGCCAUAAAUAAACUCGCUGUGGAAAUGGACUACUCAAUUUUGAAAGAGACCAACCGCUGUUGGCUGCUGCAUAAUCUCCUUCAGGAUGCAGUAAGUCCACAUUUACAGCAAUGUUGUACAGCACUGUUGUUCAAUGUAUGAAACCUAAUUUAGACUUGUGUAUACAUCUUCGGACACUGGUCUUUGAUACGUUUACAGUUGUCUGGAGUAUAACACUAUGUAUACCACUAUGUAUCUUAAGUAUCUGCACCAGCAUAAUCAUGGUAUCCAAAUAGUCUAUCCACCAAGCAAACUGAUAUUUAAAUCCAAAAGAUUUUGUAAUGUAGAGCUGUUCAAAGUUCACCCCCAUAUCCUCAAGCAGGUGUUGCGAAACGUGAAUGCACAUGCACAGUCGUUCCUUAUGGAAAGGCCAUUAUGGACAGCGAUUCUAGGUUCAUCACAGAUGGGCCGUACGGUGAAAAUUAGAAAAUUUGCAUCAUCCGGAUAGUCCUUAUCUGAGUGGAUUACUUUUAAGGUUUUUGGACGGAUUAAAGAACAGCUGAAGCAGAUCAAGCAAGGUCUGAAAGAGACCUAUGUUCUGGACUUGUUGGAGGCAAGACCUGAUGCCAUCACACAAGUGUUCCCAUCCGAGGCCGAGGCUACCUGCAGUCCCGAGGUUGUUCUAGACUUUUUUCAGUGGCCUCAGGAAGAUGAUGGCCAGGAACCCAAAAAAAUCAAAGAGUUCCUAAUGCAAUUCAUCAGCACAGGUAUGAUUACAGCAUGUUGAUGUCGAUGUUCUAACCACAUUAUAAAGUUAAUGAAAUGCCACACCAGGAGCCAAAUCUGUAGAGUACUGUUAGUGGUAUGUGUCAUUAGCAUACUGUCUCCUGCAACGCUGUCCAGUGUCCUGCAAGACAGUAGGUGAGUUGCGUAACUGCACCAAAGAAAGAUGACUGAGAGGCGCCACAUUUUUCACCCCUACUGUUUAGACGAUAUGUACAAGUCAGACCCCAUUGAAGAAAUUAUGACUGGACUGAUGCAAUGAGUUAUAAAGGAAUUUGUGUUUUAUUCUUCUGUUUUUAAUAUGCAGUCUCCCAGGACAAGCUGUUUAAGCUUGUCAAGUUCUGGGUGGGCUGGGAGUUCCCAAUGACCGAAAUGAAGGUGGAGGUGGUGGAUAGCAACAAUUAUCCAAGGGCAUCCACGUGCUUCCGCACACUCCAUCUGCCAUCACACUACCAGACCUACGAUGACUUCAGGCAAAGUCUAGAAAUGUGCCUUGGCACCAGUGAGUUUGGAUUCGGCUUAAUUGAACGUCAGAAAUACUCAUUCAAGUGCUGUUGCACACAUGUUAAAAUGACUCACAUUUGCUGCGUUGAUUGUUUACUGUUAUAGUCAUUGUUAUAUUGCCAAAUACUACUGAUUCCUGCGCUGUUGUGCACCUUUUUCUGUAUUCCACCAAAUAUCCCUUUUUCUAAUGUGAAGUUUGUUUUAUUUUGCAUGGGUCAUGCGCCCUCAGUGCCUGAGAGGCCAAAAAAGGCUCAGAGCCUUUUUAGAACAUUAAUAAAUGUAAAUUCCCAUUGUCUCCUUCGCACAUUCUUACUGAGUCCAGGCCGGUUACAUACAGUAGUAGUGUAUAUAUAGCCAAGUUAUUUAUUUAUUGAUGCUUUAUAGUUUAUUUGAUGCUACUGCCGAAUGGUUAUUUUAAUUUGUAUAUAUAUUGUCCUAGAAACUGAUAACAAUAUCGAGUGUUGAAUAAUCUCAAUUACUUGUGGUGGUUGUAGGCUGUAUGUGUGCGACAGUGAGUGUGGUGGUGUUUAAAGGACGGGUGUGGAAGAGGCUAGGAGGUAAUCACAGUAUACGCACUACAAAAAACUAGACUUCACCACUGCAUUCUUGUCACACCAUUCCACAAACCUAUCAACAUUACUUUGGUCGAUUUUUAACAUUUGGACCGUCAAAAUUUUUUUCCAUUCAAAUGAACAAGCAUCAACGGACGGAACUAAUGUAGGACACCUCGAAGGGAAUUAUCCCGCUUAUACCAUGGUCACUUGCCAAAGAAAAUAAAUUAAGACCAUUCAUUUAUAUUUUCAUGCGUUUUAAUCCAAAUAUAAGUUUGUGUGUGUGAUUCUCAGAUCAUUCAGCUCUGGGAGCUGAAUGAGAAGAAUGAGAAUCACUCCUGAAAUGAGGGUACAUACAUAAUCUUAUAUAUACCCUAAGCUUUGCAUGUACUGCACUGCAGCCAUGUAUAUGUCCACCCCCAUGCAUGUGGACGGUGCCAGUGGGUCCACUGCUGCAUGAAGUCCCGCAAGUUCCUCAGGCCUGAGAGGGUAGUCACUCUCGGGCACAUGGACACCACAGUUGGGAUCCGGAAUGAGGCCACUGUCCUCCCAGUCGAUGUGAGGAAUGUGUAAAUCCUACAGGAAAAGUUGUACAUCAGCUAAAGUGAACCGAAACAAACUUGCUAGGGUUUAGAUUUAGCUCAGCUAGCAAGUAUGGUCGACACACCUUGAAAGCCGCCUGCAUGCGCCCAGAAUAUUAUAUUCAUUAUUAUAUGUUAGCCAUGCUAAUUAUUAAUGCAAUUAUUAUAAUAACUGCAAGAUAAUGUUGACAAAGAGCAUUUGACAGAUAUGUACCUCAUCAACUUGGUCUUUGGAGGAGUGGUAUUGGCCUAAGAACCACAGUUGAUUGGGAGUGCGAUUUCCCUCUGUUGACAGAGGGUGAUUGUCCCAGCCAUCCCUGAAUUCAUCCAGUCUGGCUUGCAAACGUGGAAUGAAGACAUAGUGACAACACAAGUGGUUGAGAUUGCUAGACAGAUCCAGCAGGCCAUCCU